rnacentral:lncRNA from 1 species
UAUCGCAUCACAACAUAAAACAUAUUAUUUAUUAAAAUUAAAACUCGCAGCGGACAACAAACAAAUAUUAUCAUUCAUCAUAUAACAAUUCAUAAUAAUGUUCACAUUAUUUCAACAAAACAUCUCAACAUAUUAGUCAUCAUAAACAACGUAAAUAAUAACUAUCGAAUCCCAUACCCCGGUGUCACAUGACAGAGCAUUUGACUCGACUCUGUAGAAUAACUCUACACUUAUUCUUCAAACCUCAACAAUAGCUACUCCUCUUUAUCUGCACUUGCUAUCAUAGAUGAACGUAACACAUGCAGAAGGGGUGAGAAUUACAUUAUUAAAUAAUAAUAUUAACGACAGAAUAUAAACAUAAUAUAUUUCACAUAUGACAACACCGUCAUCAUAAUCAUCAUAAUUAACAUACUUCAUGAACAUCAACAAAACAACAUAUCAAAUGCAAGCACACACCCAUGCAUGACUCAACACGACUCGGUAUACCAUUUUUGUGACCAACUACAGGAUCACCACUCCAGAUUCAUCACCAUAGAAUCCGAGUUCCCACAAGAACCAAGCUCUCAACAAGCCCGGAGUCAACAACAUCAUUGGAACUCAGUCCGUUCAUCACUAGGCAUCGGCCUUUCAUGAAUGCAUGCACACCAAACAUGCAUCAUAAUCAACUAGCAACAAGCAGUCAUCAUUAGUCAUGUUAUCAUCAUCCAUUAUAGCAUGACUUACAAAUCUCAACAAAACGAAAACAACAUACAUUAAGACUAACGAUAUCUGAGCAUCGUACAUAACACAUUUAUAAAUAAACAUCGGUAGAAUUCAACAUCUAUAUCAUCAUAAAACACCGUCGUAUACCACAAUGAUAAUCAUCUAUGUAAUUGUUAUGAUACAAUUUUACAAUGAACACAACUUACUAAAGAUCACGUCCCCAAUAGCCUCAACGUACUCAAAAAUCAUACCCACUGGUUAUAAGCUGCACAGCACAGUUCGCGCCGCCAACAUAGGGACGCGCCGCGAACUCCUCCAUUUAUUCCAGGACGCGCCGCGAACGAAGGAUCGCGUCGCGAACAAUUAAUUUCGCUUCAGUACGCGUCACGAAGCAGGGUUCGCGCCGCGAACGAUGAGUUACAGAACUCCUCUGAAUCCUGCCCAGUUCGCGCCGCGAACUGAGCUUCGCGUCGCGAAUCGCGCGCGAACAGAAGCCCUCUGCUACAGAAACCAGCGCAGCUUUGCUUCCCUACUCGCCAUAACUCAUACCCCACAGCUAACAACCCAAAAUCAACAUUUAACAGUCAUAUAUACACAACAUACUUCGAUUAUAACGCAUAUAACUCAACAAAACUCACAGAUCGGAGAAUUUCCAUCAAAACCCCAACUUUCCCAAUCUCCCUAAAAUCCCCAAAAUUCAUCAAUAAUCCAACAUAUAUCAUGAAUUUGCUCGCAUAUUAUCGUUUAAUAAGGUUCAGACCCCUUACCUCUUUGGAUUGAAGGAAGCUCUGAGCACUCUUUGGCCUUUUCCUCUUCCUUCUCUUUCUCUUCA